rnacentral:rRNA from 1 species
GACAGAGGGUGCAAACGUUGCUCGGAAUUACUGGGCGUAAAGCGCGUGUAGGCGGAUCGGCAAGUCAGGUGUGAAAUCCCCGGGCUCAACUCGGGAACUGCACUUGAAACUGCCAAUCUCGAGUACCGGAGAGGGUAGUGGAAUUCCUGGUGUAGAGGUGAAAUUCGUAGAUAUCAGGAGGAACACCGGUGGCGAAGGCGGCUACCUGGACGGUCACUGACGCUGAGACGCGAAAGCGUGGGGAGCAAACAGG